GACCUACACAGCUGCCAUUAGGAAGCCCAACAGUGCUUCCAAUCAGGCCGGGUCCCUGGAUAAAGCCUCGCCCCUGGGCGUGGCCCCACCCCCAGGCAGGGUUAAGGGCGCUGGGCUGUGCCUCGAGUCUGAAAUCUUUCCUAUUGCUCUUUCGUUCCUCCCCACCACUCCACUCAGCUGUUAAACAACUUCUACCUUGAUAACCUGUAUAUGGAUGAGGAUGAUGACCUAUUUGGCACCGUUGGCCACUUUGGCUUCAGCGAACUCAAUGGGAUGGCCAAGAAGAGACCCUUGUGUUAGGAAUUCUUCCAAGUCUCCAAUACCUCAUGGACAUCUCAAAAGUGUCGAAUAAAAGAACCUAGGAUAAGACUGAGAAGGCCAUUAUCAGGCUCUCUACAAGGGAUUGGUCAUCUUUUAGAAACAAAAGAGGAAAACAGUAAGACCUAAACUAGUUCCUUCCUUUCCCUGAGCACAAGUUCUGGGAUACUCAAAAUCCACACCUCCAGAACAGUACAUGGAGAACACCACUGUAUAUUAAAAUAAACAUUUCUUGGGGAGGAUCAAUAUUCUUGGUUGUGCUAAAAAAAGAUUGCCCUCAUUAGAGGAUAUAUUGUCAUGAAAACUGAAAGGCUCUUUCUACAAGAACUGGAUUAUUCUUUAGGGAAAUUUUUGCUUCCCGUAAGUGCUGGAGAAGCAUUUUCUGUUUGCAUAGAAGAGUCAAAUCUCUGAACUCAGUGCCUUCAGCGGGUGUGCUGUCAGCCAGGGGCACCUGGCAUACUUGCAUGCAGGUGGGGCUUGGAUGGGACACAGGCUCACUAGAGGGCAAGGAAGGAAGAUUACUCUGGCAUAAUAGCUGCUCUUUAAAUGUCACAACUUUCUGGGGAUGACUGAUCCUAGUCCUGAUCCACCUAACACUUGAAAGGUAACUUGGGCCAGCAGAGACAGCUUCUUAGUUGUGGGGGUUAGGUACUUGACCCUUCUCCUUGCUGCUGGUCAGAGAGAACCCAUAGUUGGAGGGUUGUCUGUUGUCAGGCUCUGUCUGAGUCUGCAGCUCUUCUUUCUGCUGACUUAAUUCCCAGUCCUCAGGCUCCUGCCUGCAUGCUAGUUUCUCCUCUAAUAUCUUUCCAGUGGCUGUCAUGAGCUCAAGAGCUUCAAGAGGCCUCAUGAAUACAGGUCUACUUUCAACUAGGCCUUGGCACUAUGCAAAGGCUGGCAUGAACUUGUCUUUUUGCAUGGGACUUUCCUGCCCUCUGCUUUUUCUCUUGAAAUCAAUCCACUGAAAAAAUUGCCUCAUCUUUUUUCUGAAGUAACUUUCAGGAGGAAAUUGUUCUUUCUGUUACAGAGACUGAAGUCUCCUCUAAUUUCCUGUCCUCAGCAAGAUGGUUUUUCCUUGCAGCUUCGGAUAUCCCUAAUCCCAAGUCCUCGCUUCCACAUUCUCUUGCUUUGGGUCCCAAAAGGCUCUUGCUUCGGGUCCCUUCUUAGCUGAUGGGAAAUUCUUAUCCUGGCACUUCCAUAAGACAUACUUAUGGACUUGGGUUGUUGCAACUGCUGCAUGCUGAUCCCUGCAUCGUUUGGGUGGAUAUGCAGUACCUGGGAAGCUGCCCUGUCCUCACUGGAGACACUCUGGAAGUAAGCCAGUGAGGAAUCAGAAGUCAAGCUAUCAGAGGUGAACAUGUCUCUGGGACAGCCUUGAGCCUGACUAUGCUCCCCACUCUCCAAUCUAAACUUUCACUAGCCAGCUGUCCUUUAAAAUCUGAUGAUUUAGGAUCUUCAGCAAUCAAUAUUCUUGGUGGGAAGUAUUUGGUGGUCAGAGUAGUCUCUUCUUUACUGGUGUUCCUCAUUGAGGAGCUUCCCAACUCACUGGUUGUCAAGAUAUCAUUAGAUUGUUGUUGAAGAGCAUAGAGCUCCUCUAUCUCCCUGGACACAUUGGACAUAGAAAAAUGUUCUGAAGCCUGUACCACAGUUUUUUGCCCUGAAGCCUUUCUACACUAUUGCUGGAACUCACUUUCUCAUUCCUUGAUUCAUGUCCAGCCCUGUCUUGUUUUGUGGGCAGCUCUGAACUGUGUCUAUCAGCUAGUACAGUCUCAUUCUCUUUGUCUAUUAUGCUGUGUGUAGGGGGGCAUAAAAGUCUGUCUGCCCUCCUCAAUUCUCUAUAAGCUUAUGGUCAGUAUCAGAGGGUGACUGUCUCAAGGCUUCCUGUUCUAUGUUUACAG